GAACGUUUUCCUCUGCACGCAUUCGGGGGCGGGACUUCCAUAGGCUUCAUGUGGGGUCCGGUUUCCGUGUUUUUUCACCUUUUUCAGGGCAGUGAGUCCUGAGUCGGGACCGAAGAGAAUGGAACAGGCGAGGAGAGGCGUUGGCCCCGGUGCCCAGAGGCGGCUGUGAGGCCCCCCCGAGCCCGUAGUUGACGGCAGUGCCCUCGUUCCCGCCCCGCCCGCCGCCUCUUCCGGCUCCGUUCUUCCCACCGACCGGUGACCCCGGUGACCGAGGCUGCGCCAAUGAGGCCCGCUCAGGUGGGUGCUGCGUCUCCCGGGCCCCCACCCGGCCCGACUGCCGCCUCCGAGUCCUAAAUACGGACGGAGGGGCGCCCGCUCGGUUCCCUGACAGUCAGCCCCAGAGUCCAGAACAGAGGGCGGCCUUGGGAGGGGGUCCCCUUUCAGCCCGUGGACUGGGGUGAGGGAGAGAGUUCCCUCGGGGGGCCCCCUGUGCACGGCUUGCAGGUGCUACGGAGUCGGCAGCAUUGGGGAAACCUGGGGUCGCUUUUGUCGUGGACAGAGGGGGAGGAGUUACCUCACCUGAAACGGCAACCUGAGCAGGAAGCAACCACAAGGAUCAGGUUUCAGAAGAUAAUGAGUUAAAUUGUGGAUGUGUGACCCUAAGAUACCUCAAGGUGGAGACGGCACAUAGGAGCAUAUCUGGCAUAGGAGUUACUCUGGCCUGUGUCUGUAGAAAAGGAUAGCUGGAUGUGAUGAAUUGCCGGCCUGGAUGGAGAUGAAGGUGUAAGGUCGUGUAGAAUGAGCCCUGCAGGUCAGCUCUUCUCCUAGAGGAGAAUCCCUGUGGAACAAAGAAAUAGCCAGGUUCCCAUGGCAUUUGCAGAAAUACUUAUGGACCUGUACAGGUGAAUGGAGGAUGUGCCAGACCUUCAUCCACCCCAGUUAUCACCCUGAUGGUUCUGCCACUCUCAUAUAAAGAAUGCUGGUGGCCUGAGAUUGUUCACCCAUCCUCCCUUCCUUGGGUCUGAAGUCCCUGUGGUUUCACCAAGGCCUAGGGUCUUGAACUCAGUCCCAGAUUAUAUGGAGCUGUUCCCGUUUCCAACAACUGAUGGAGUAAGAUGUGGAAGGAUGUCGUGGGCACAGGAUCCAGAAUGUCCAGACAACUGGAGGGACUUGUGGUUUUUACAGACGUGGUCAUACAUUUCUCUCAGGAGGAGUGGGGGCUCCUUGAUGAGGCUCAGAGACACCUGUACCACCAUGUGAUGCUGGAGAACUUUGCACUUCUCUCAUGACUAGGUUGUUGGCAUGGAGCCCAGGAUGAGGAGCCAGCUUCAGAGCAAGGUGUUUCUAUAGAAGUGUCACUGGCCAGGACACCAAAGCCAGGUCCCUCCAUCGGGAAUGCCCAGCCCUGUGGGACAUGCAGCUCACUCUUGAAAGACAUUCUGUCCCUGGCUGAGCAGGGUGGAAUGCACCCUGGGCAAGGACUAUACACUUGUGAGGCAAAGCUUUGCCAGCACCAAAAACGUCACAUUAGAGAGAAACUUUCCUGAAAGGACAAGGGGAGGCCUUCAUUUGUGAAAAACUGUACUGUCCACAUGACACAGAGGACCUUCACAUGCAGGGAAGGUGGGAAGGACUUCCCAGCCAGCACAGGCCCUCUCCAGUACCAGCCUCUUCAUGGUGUGGGAAAGCCACAUGGGGACAUUGCAGAUGGAGAGGACUUUCAAAAUGGGCAAAGUGCUUACAAGUGCACUCAGUGUGGGAAAGCCUUCAGCCAUAACCAUACACUUGUUGACCAAGAGAAGAUCCACACUGGAGAAUAGUUUUAUGAGCAUAGGGAAUGUGGGAAGGCCUUUCUUAGAAAGUCCCAACACGAGCAGCAUCAGAAAGUCCACACUGAGCCUGGGCUCUAUGAGCACUCAGAAUGUGGAGUAUUCGUUACAGAAAUAUCUGGCCUCAAUGACCACCAGAGAAUUAACACAAGGCCAAGGCCUUUUGAGUGCAGCCUUCUUUAGACCGUCCCAACUCGUUGGUCACCAGAAAAUCCACACUGAAGAAAGAACUUACGGUGGUAGUGAGUGUGGAAAAUUCUUUAGGAACUGUUCCACACUCAUUAGACACCAGAGAGUUCACACUGGAGAAAGGCCUUUUGAGUGCACUGAAUGCGGGAGAGCCUUCACCUGCAAACAUAGGCUUGUUGAGUACCAGAAAAUCCACAGUGGUGAAAAGACUUUUUCAGUCACAAAGACACAGUUGUUGAGCACCAGAAAAUCCACACUGGAGAAAGGCCUUACAAGUGCAGCAAAUGUGGGAAAUUCCUUAUGGACAGCUCCUCAUUAUUCAUUAGAAAGUUCACACUGGACAAAGACGUUAUGAGUAUGGCAAAUGUGGAAAAAAAAUUUUUUUAAUUUAUUUUAAUUUAUUUAUUUUUGGCUGUGUUGGGUCUUUGUUGAUGCACGCGGGCUUUCUCUAGUUGUGGGGAGCGGGGGCUACUCUUUGUUGUGGUGCACGGGCUUCUCAUUGUGGUGUCUUCUCUUGUUGUUGAGCACGGGCUCUAGGGCACGUGGGCUUCAAUAGUUGCAGUGCAUGGGCUCAGUAGUUGUGGUUCAUGGGCUCUAGAGCUCAGGCUCAGUAGUUGUGGCACACGGGCUUAGUUGCUCUGUGGCAUGUGGGAUCUUCCCGGACCAGGGCUCGAACCCAUGUCCCCUGCAUUGGCAGGCAGAUUCUUAACCACUGCACCACCAGGGAAGUCCCCAAUCUAUUUUUAACAUUUUGAACUCUUUCCUUUAUUGGCUAUACCAUUUUAUGCUCCCAUCAAACGUCCACAGAGUUCCAGUAUCUCCACAUCCUCAUUGACAUAAUUCUAUUUUCCGUUUCAUGUUUAAUAGUAGCUAUCCUAAUGGAUGUGAGGUAAUAUCUCACUGUAGUUUUGUUUAUUUUAUUAUAUAUAUAUAUUUUUUAUGGCUGCGUCGGGUCUUAGUUGCAGCAUGCGGGCUCUUUGUUGUGGCACACGGGCUUCUCUAGUGUGGCAUGCAGAUUUUCUCUUCUCUAGUUGUGGCCCGUGGGCUUCUCUCUAGGUGUGGUGUGCAGGUUUUCUGUUCUUUAGUUGUGGCGCGUGGGCUCCAGAGCAUAUGGGCUGUAUAAUUGUGGCAUGCAGGCUCCAGAGCGUGUGGGCUCUGUAGUUUGCAGCAUGCGGGCUCUCUAGUUGAGGAGUGCGAGCUCAGUAGUUGUGAUGCGUGGGCUUAGUUGCCCUGUGGCAUUUGGGAUCUUAGUUCCCCAACUAGGAAUCGAACCCACAUCCCCUGCAUUGCAAGGUGGAUUCUUUACCACUGGACCACCAGGGAAGUUCCCUUACUGUAGUUUUGUUUAGCAUUUCCCUAAUGAUUAAUGAUCAUGCCUUCUUGGCCAUUUGUGUAUAUUCUUUGUAAAAAUCUCUAUGUUUACCCCUUUAAAAUUUUUCUUAUUGGUGAGUUUUAGCAGUUCUUUAUAUAAUCUGGAUACUGACCACUUAUCAAAUAUAUGAUUUGCAAAUGAUUUUCUUCCAUUCAGUAGCUUGCCAUUUCACUCUGUUGAUUGUGUCCUUUGCACAGAAGUUUGUACCCUUAUUUUUGCUUUUGUUUCCUAUGCUUUUCAUGUCAAUGCCAAGAAGUUAUAAAUCCAAUGUCAUGAAGCUUUUCCCCUAUGUCUUCAUCUAAGAGUUUUUGAGCUUACAUCGUACUGUCAGGUCUUUGUUUAUUUUGAGUUCAUUUUUGGGUGUGGUGUAAGGUAAGGGUCCAACUUCAUUCAUUUGGAUGCAGAUAUCCACUGUAAUUUGUUGGAGAGACUGUCCUCCUCCCAUUGAAUUGCGUUGACACUCUUGUUGAUUAUUUGAUCAAAUAUACUGGCUUCCAGUUCGGGGCACUCUGUUCUGUUUCAUUGGCCUAAAGUUUUGUGUUUAUGGCAGUACCAGUGUUUUGUUUUUGCUUUUUAAAAAUUUUUAUUACAAUGUAGUUAAUUUACAAUGUUGUGUUAGUUUCAGGUGUACAGCAAAGUGAAUCAGUUAUUCGUAUACAUAUAUCCACUCUUUUUUAGAUUCCUUUCCCAUAUAGACAAUUACAGAGUUUUGAGUAGAGUUCCCUGUGUUAGACAGUAGCUCCUUAUUAGUUAUAUUUCAGUUUUGAGUCCCUGGCUUGAUGUCAGUCAUUUCCUCUUUUAGAGCAGCAGCUGAUUAAGACCACAACCAAUCACUGUCUAUAUCAGGCACUCACACUCUGGACACCAUCCCUUAUGUCCCAGGGCCAGGAAACCAGGCAACUGGAGACAGCCUGUAUGCCCCUGACCCCAUGAAAUUAUUCCAGCUAGGUCAUCCAUGGGGAGCCUGGGAAACCUAGGUAGCCCCAGACCACCUGCUAUGUAUAGGGUGCUCCCUACAGCCUCAGGUUACUUACUGUGUCCCUGUACAGCCUGUUGUGUGCCCUGCCUGAUGCCCUUGUCUCAUCCUAAGCCCUAGGUAACAGAAUUCUUCUUUUUAUCUACCCAAGUGUCAUCAAGAACUUUUAAAUCUUACAAAACAACUACAAACCCAGAAGAGUGUUAGGAAUGCAGUGAAUGUUGAAAGUUAUUCAGCUAUUAGCCUAAACUCAAACAGCACUGGUAAAUUUAAAUCGGAGAAACAUCUUCGGAGUGCAGGCAACAUGCUGGUUCCUUGUUCUACGUAAUUACAGAGCGACAUUUGGAGAUUAGUCUUUGUGAAAGAGAACUCAGCCAUAAAUUGAACUUCAUGCCUCCAGACAUCCCAGGAAGAUUCUCUUAAGUACCAAGUAUAUUGGAAGCUUUCAUGAUAACACCUUGCACUUCCGGACCUGCCUGGAGUCCUUGCCAGAAAUAAGUUGUUACCAGUAUCUGUUAUGUUAGCCUUCCCUCCUCUGCCACAUGGCAGGGUGCCGCACUGUGUAUGAGUCAUCCUUACAGUGCUUGGGAGGCAGGAAGCUACACUUUCUUCCUUCAUCUGGAGGACUCACCCGUCUCUUGACUUUUGGGGUAUCUCAUUCACUUCCCACUGAUUGUUUUGGGUGGGAUAUUACCCAGUUCUGGACAAGACGACUCCAGCUGGCUUCUGCAGGCAGCUUGUGGAGAUUUCCCUUCUUCUGAGCUCGGGCCCUCCGGCUUCUCCUCGGCCAGUUCGCGAAACGAUGUCUCACGCCCUCGAGAAGCGCAGAGACAGUUGCAGUUCAGCACAUAGAAAAUUAGAAACGCCCGUCUACUCAGGAGUAAAGACUUCAAGAAACACCAGGAAGAGGAAAGACUUAGGACUCACCUGGGAUGACAACACAGCUACAUGAUCAUCCUCACCCCUCUGGUUACUAAUAAAAAGACAUUUUAAUCAAAGAAGACAAUACACCUGGCAGAGAACACAGGAAUGUUCAACAUCAUGAAUCACUAGGGAAAUGCAUCAGACCACAGUGAGGAGCCAAGGAUCCCCCUGGAAUCUUACUCUGAAUCUCCUUUUCAGUAGAACUCUGGCAAACCACAACCCCGUCCUUGACUCCUUGUCUCAUGGGAGGGAUUCUGUAGUAGUAGCGAUGAAGACUGGUGAGCAAUGAAAGGUUUUUUUUAUUUUAUUUUUUGUUGUGUUGGGCCGUUGUUGCUGUGCCUGGGCUUUCUCUAGCUGUGGUGAGCAGAGGCUACUCUUUGUUGUGGUGUGGGGGAUUCUCAUUGCAGUGGCCUCUCGUUGCAGAGCACAGGCUCUGGAAGUUGUGGCACACAGGCCUAGUUGCUAUGAGGCAUGUGGGAUCUUCCCAGGCCAGGGCUUGAACCCCUGUCCCCUGCAGCAGGUGGAUUCUUAACCACUGUGCCACCAGGGGAAUCCCUGAAAAGUGUUUCCACUUAAGUUAUCCAAGAACUCUGCCUGGGUCCUAAAAAUCACAUGCCUGUACUACACGAUUUCCACACUCAUUCCCCAUUGUUUUCACUGUGCAUCAAAUGGCCUUGAGAUAAACUAUUUGCAGAUGCUGAGGGAAUCCUAAAACCUUUAUGUUACUCAGUCUGACACUGACUGAGGUUCAGGAGGUUUCUGCAAAAACCUUUAUGCAAAACAGCCACAGUGGUGGGAAAAUACAUGAAUGCAAUUUUAUAUUUUAUUCCUUCUUCUUUGGUAGUCUCUCCCUGUAAUUCCCUGUUUUAGUCCCACAGAGAGCCCUGCACUCUACCCCAGAAGGCCUUGGACAACGAUGCAAAAAUGGGCCAGAACUGGAGUGAAAACUAUUCUCUGCCAUGAUACUACCCCCAGUGAGGUAUACUAAGUUUGGAACACCCACAAAACCUGUUCCUGUGUCCUGUCCUAGCCAGUUGAUGGAAGAGAAUGACAAAACCCACGUGCUCAGGGAAUCCAUGCUUUUCUACAGGGGAUACGAGAGCACAAAAGGCUACCUACCCUGAUCACACUUAGAUGACUGAGUCCCAGUAUGGGGAUCUGCCACUUGGAAAAGGUAAGAAACUCACAGUGACAGUAAGUCAGAAAGUAGAGCAUAGCUCCUGAAAAGCUUCCUACAAACCUCGUACUCACGGGCAAUCUGCACACUAGGGUUGUUCAGUUGUAUGGCAUUCAACUUCCGUUGAUGAGUCCCUCACAAAGCCUAUUCAGUAUGAUGUAUUAACUAAGGAGACAGCUCAUGUGCUACUCUCCUCAUCUCAUCUCAAGGCCUUUCUCCAGUAUGAACUCUGGUGAUAGAUGAGGUUUUAUAGACCUUUGGCUGAAAGCUUUCUUACAUUUGCUGCACUCAUGGUCUUUUUCUGUGGCGUGACCUGUUUGGUGUUCAGUAAGCUGGGUGUUUUGGCUGAAGAAUUCUCCAUAUUUAGUGCAUGCGUUUUUUUCCUCCAGUGUGACUGUCUUCUUCAGGCCUCUCUCCUGUGUGGACUCUCUCAUGCUCUGCAAGCCUAUACAUCCAGGGGUAGGCUUUCCCACACUCAUAGCACUUAUAGAGACUUUUACCAUUGUGAAACACUGCUGUGCAGUCAGCAUCCUUUUGUGGAGUGACCUGGUGCUGGAGAAGGCUAGAGCUACCAGGGAAAUCCAUCCCAGCCUCCUGGCAUGUGAAGGAGUUCUUGGAUGCAUGGACUAUGUGGCUCCUCAUAAAGGCCUUACCCCUGUCUCUUCUAAAGAGUUUCCCUCCACUGUGCUGGUGAAAUUUCACACCUGACACACACAGUUUCUGGCCAGGAAUUGUUCCCAGGUCUUCACCUAGAGGCAAACUUACUGUUUAAGGCCAGGCUACACAUCUUCCAGGGACAGGACUUUGGAUGGACAGGUCUCUGAAGUAUUUAUUCAUGGCACUUCUACAGAAACAUUCUGCUCAGAAAUUAUCUCCUUGUGCUCUGCUCCAUGCCAACAAACUGAAAGCAGAGAAAUGACACAAUGUUGGGGGGAGUGCACACAGAAAUGAGGUACACAGUCACUGGCUUUGGCACCAAAACACUGUGGGGCACAGGACAUGAUCCUGAUAUAAUUUGAACCCCUGAUGCCAAAUCAAUGGGGCCAAGCCCACUUUGAACCCCUCAUGCUGGGGCUUGGAGUCAUGUCCACUCUGUCAUGUCCCAGGGUUCACCUCCCAGCUCCAGUUGGACAACAACAUGGAACCUAGAAAAUGCAAGUCCUAAGGGAAAGACAGGACAGGUGAACAGUCAGUACUAGCCCAGGAGAACAACCAAUCCCCCAAAAAACCUGAGGAAAGAAAAACAGUGUCACAAAAAGAACCAGUGUCCCUGCUGGAUCCCAACAAUUCCUGGUACAGUCAGGGCCCAGGAAAUAUCAGCUGGAAGGGGGCAGAACCUAGUGCACAGAGGUGUGUGGGUCUACAGAGUCAACUUAGCAGGGAGUGGCUGAGACUGAUGGAACCCACUGAACUAAUUCCAAGUCUUAUGACCCAGAAAAACUUCACUGAAAAAACUUCAGAGCUGCUGGUACUGGGGAUACUUCUGAAAGGAGGUCGUACUCAUUCAGCCUUGGCACCAACACAGAUGAGAGGGAAGCAGUAAUAGAGAUGUGCCCACUGUCUAGGAGUCUGUGAAAAAACAGACUUGCCUUUGGAAAAGGGAAAGGCAGAGACCUGCCCAGGAUGCUGGGAUAGGUGGGAGGCCCUUACCCAAUGAUGCAACAAGUGCAAAGGGCUCCAGGAUCACAUCACGGCACAGGAAUCUCUGGGCCUCAUCAAGAAGCUUCCAUUCCUCCUGGGAAAAGUACCCAGCCACGUCCUCAAAGGUCACAGGGCCCUGUGAUGAUGGGACAGAUUUGUACAUAAGCAGCCUCUCUCCCCAGGACCCCAUAAGUACUUCUAAACCCAGCCCAUACUCUGGGUUCAUCAUCCACCCCAGCUCUGUGACUUAGAGGGCAGUGGGCCCAAUAACUCUUCAUGCUUCCUUGAUCAGUAUGUACAACCCUGAGCAACAACAGGCAGGUGGACAGAGAGAUACCAUGUAAUCUGUGAGCCUGGUAUGCAGGGCCCUUUCCCUUUCCUCCAAGACAACAGCCUGAGUGUACCCACUAUCAUGUCUCCCAGAUACAAGCAAACUUAGCCCCAUCCUUCUCUCUUAUACUUCUAGUACUAGGGCCUGGGGCAAUUACUUCACACACUUUCCUCACUGAACCUCCUCAUACAUUACAUGUCUACCAUCAUUCUCAGAACAGAAACCUCGUGCUACCAUUCUAAUUCUGCCCCCCUUGCUCUCUGUCCUUAUCAGUUGUUAACAGACCUACAUGUCCUAGAGCACUCCCAUCACAAUCACAUCCUCAAGCAUUUGUAUAUACUAGCCCCAUUACUAAGACAACCUUUCAUGUCUCAGUCCGCUGGCUGCCAAAAAUGGGAAUCUGUCCAUAAAACCUAGGGUCUACAGACACCAAGUCCACAAAGACACCUGACACCAGUGCAGGGGCCAUAAAUGGUUCUGCUGAGCAAACCAUUUAAUAUUUCAGGCAAAGACAAAUACUCAAGAGAAAAAUAAAGCAUGUAAAAGAGGACAGAAAAUGUUAUAGAGUUGUGCCAUAAGGUCAUGUGGAUACCUUGAGAAAAGGCUGUCCAGAAGUGGGACAAAAAAGUGCAAAGCCUCUCUAUCAGAGUCAUGUCUGGUGUGUAUGAGCAGCAUCCACAAGGCUAGUGUGACUGGAGCCCAUUGAGCCAGAAGAAUAAGGGAUUGUGUUGGAGAGGAAAUGGUUCUUUUCAAACUUUACUUUGGUUAUAUUAAAAAUUAUUACUUUAUAAAAAUCUCCACCUUACAUAAUCCAUAGAUUAAAUUCUGAUUUGGAAUUAUGCUAACAUUACAUAAUAGGAUUCAAGAAUAUAUACUUUUUAUACUUAUCCACCAUAUUCUUUGAUAUAUCCAUUUUUUUCCCCCAUACCUGUUCAGAGAGACUAUCUGUAAUUUCCUACUAGAUUUCUUCUCCAGGGGUAGAGAUCAUGAACCACAAUUUACUGAAUUCACACUGAAUAUGACUCUCUGGAAAAGGGGUUCUUGCCAGAAUCAAAGUGCUUGGCCUCCAGCAGUUGGGGAUAACUGGGCAUCAUUGCUGACUCUUUAAACUUAAGAGAACUGCAACAAGCUAUAGGACUUACCUCUAGUCCAUCUGCAUUGUAGAAACACAGAAAUACCUUAUUGAGUUCUUAACAUCUUGCAUUAUCACUUUUUACACUUACAAUGUCACUUACAAUGACAAAAAGUGAUAAUGACAAAGCAUUAUCACUUUUUACACUUACAAUGAUUCAUUUUAUCACCCUUAAAACAAGUAUUUUAACAAGAUAGCUUAAUCAUUUAUGAUUUUCCACUAAAAUAAGUAUUAUUCAGGAACUUCCCUGGUGGUCCAGUGAUUAAAAAUCUGCCUUCCAAUGCAGGGGAUGCAGGUUGGAUCCCACAUACUGUGGUGGGGCAACUGAGCCCAUGUGCUUCAACGAAAGAUCCUGUGUGCUGCAACUAAGACCUGACACAGCCAAAAAUAAAUAAAACAAUACAUAAGCAUUAUUUGAAGAGUACAAUCACAUUCUACCUGAAAAAGAAUUCAGAGUAAUGAUAGUAAAGAUGAUUCAAAAUCUCAGAAAAGAAUGGAAACAGACGGAGAAGAUACAAGAAAUGUUUAAAAGAAAGGUAGAUUUGAUGAACAAUACAAUAACUGAAAUGAAAAAUACACUGGAGGGAUUCAAUAGCAGGAUAACUAAGGUAGAAGAACGACUAAGUGAGCUUGGAUGACAGAGUGGUGGAAAUAACAACAUUUAAUGAACCAACAUUUGCAUUAUAAGGGUCGAAGAAGAGAAAGGGAAAGGGCCUGAGAAAAUAUUUGAGGAGAUUACAGCCGAAAACAUCCCUAACAUGGGAAAGGAAACACCCAAGUCCAAGAAGUGCAGAGUCCCAUACAGGAUAAACCCAAGGAGAAACACACCAAAACACAUAUUAAUCAAACUGAUACAAAUUAAACACAAAGGAAAAAUAUUAAAAGCAGCAAGGGAAAAGCAACAAAUAACACACAAAGGAAUGAUAACCAUAAGGCUAUAUCAGCUGAUUUUUCAACAGAAACUCUGCAGGCCAAAGUGGCACAAUAUAUAUUUAAAUGGUGAAAGGGAAAAAACCUACAACCAGCAAUACACUACUCAGCAAGGCUUUCAUUCAGAUUAGAUGGAGAAAUUAAAAGCUUUACAGACAAGACAAGCAAAAGCAAAGAGAAUUCAGCACCACCAGACCAACUUUGCAAAAAGUGCUAAAAGAACUUCUCUAGGCAGAAAAGAAAAGGUCACAACUAGAAACAAGAAAAUCACAAAAGGGAAAGCUCAUCAGUAAAGGCAAACAGACAGUAAAAGAAGGAAACCAAAAAAAAAAAAAAAAAAAAAAAAAGAAGGAAAACAUCCACACACGAAAUAUGAUAUCAAAACAGCAACCAUGAGGAGUACAAAUGCAGGAAAUGGGAAUUGCAUUUGAAAUUAAGACACCAGCACCUCAAAACAAUCCUGUACAUACAUAAACUGCUAUAUAAAAACCACAUAGAUGCAGGGGACACGGGUUCAAGUCCUGGUCGGGUAAGAUCGCACAUGCCAUGGAGCAAGUAAGCCUGUGUGCCACAACUACCGAGUGUGCACUCUAGAGCCCCCAAGCCACAAUUACUGAGCUCACGUGCCUAGAGCCAAUGCUCUGCAAUGAGAAGCCAUGUAAAUGAGAAGCCUGCACACUGCAAUGAAGAGUAGCUCCCAAUUGCCGCAACUAGAGAAAGCCCGCACACAGCAACAAACACCCAACUCAGCCAAAAAGAAAAAAAACAUACAGGCAGACUGCAAACCAAAAAAUUACAAUAGGUUCAAAAAAAGAAAAAAAAAAAAAACCCCAAACACAACACUAAAGAUAA